UACGUAGGGUGCGAGCGUUAAUCGGAAUUAUUGGGCGUAAAGCGUGCGUAGGUGGUCUUUUAAGUCCGUUGUGAAAGCCCUGGGCUCAACCUGGGAAUGGCAGUGGAUACUGGAAGGCUGGAGUGCGGUAGAGGAGGGUGGAAUUCCCGGUGUAGCGGUGAAAUGCGUAGAGAUCGGGAGGAACAUCAGUGGCGAAGGCGGCCCUCUGGACCAGCACUGACGCUGAGGCACGAAAGCGUGGGGAGCAAACAGG
rnacentral:rRNA from 1 species